rnacentral:lncRNA from 9 species
GUCAGUGGAAGCCGGGGUGUCGGCGGGCGGCCGCGGGAGGGCCUAGCGACGCCUGCGGAAGAAGGAGAAGGCUGGGGGAUGGAGGCAAUGAGGAAAUGAUUCCUUUCCUAACUAGUUCUGUGUAAUGACUUAUGGAGUCAGCCCAGCAGUAAGUCAGUCACCCAGGAAAUCUCUCCACCCUCUGCCAAUGCUUCUGCCCUGUUGGAGUUGCUUAGGGAAUGGAGAAGCCAUGCAGACCUCCUUAGAGCAGAGCAUGUUCUGGUGUGCCACCCCAGAGCGUCCAUUAUGAAGACUGAGUUCAAACAUGAAGAGUGUGCAGAAAAUAAGGUAUACAUUUCCAUCAUUCCUUAUCCCAAGAAAGUGAAUAUAUAAAGUUUGACAAAAUGUCCUAGUGCUUUUGCCGUCCUAGCACUACAGUGGGCUCGGGUUUUCCCAGUUUCAUAAUGAUUCCAAUUCUAACUUCCUCAGACAUAUCAUUUAUUUUUCUCUCAUUUAAAAAAAAUGUAUGGUAGUGAAUAAAAAGUUUGUUGAGGCAAAUAUUUAAAGUUAUUUAGGCAUUUUACUGCAUGUCCUGAAAUCACUGAAUACAGUGAUGAUAUAGUUCCAAAUUAAAUCAUCCAGAAGGCUUCUAAAAGUUUGGCUAAGACCCUGUACUUUCUGUGUGGUGUGACUGGCAUCCUCUCUACCAUUGUGUAACUCUUUCACAUUGAACCAUUUUUCUUGAACACUGAGGAAUACUUUUUUUGUUUUCUUUUUUGGCCACAUAUGUGACAUAUGGAAGUUCCCAGGCCAGGGAUUGAAUCUGAGCUGCAGCUGUAACCUAUGCCACAGUUGCAGCAAUGUCAGUCCUCAGUGCCUGUAUUAGGCUGGGGAUUGAACUGGUGCUUCCAUGGAGAUAAGCUGGAUCAUUAACCCACUGUGCCGCAGCAGGAACUCCUAUUAUUUUUGGAGUCCCUCAAAUCAACAAAACCACAUCAAUUUACAAGUCUUAAACUCAGUAUUUAAGUAAUUCAUCAAAACACAUUUUUGUGACCUAGUUGAAGCUUUAUUGGUAAUGAUUUAGUGUUUAGAUUUCUAAGUUUUCUAAAACGUCUCAUUAUGGUAGUUAUAUAUGGUUUUGCAACCAGCAGAACCAUUAUUAAGAUUGCAAUGAUAUACACUACUUAACAGUCUUUUAAAAACCCUCUAGUUAGUGUGUAAAAUGCUCUACUUAACUAUACAUUAGAUAGUACUGCCUUUUUUUGGCUGACUUGCAUAUGGAGUUCCUGGGCCAGGGGUCAGAUCUGAGCCACAGUUGCAGCCUGUGCCACAGCUUAGGCUGAUCACAACACCAGAUCCUUAACCUACUGAACGAAACCAGGGAAGGAACCCACAUCCUCAUGGAUACUAUUUGGGUUCUUAAUCUGCUGAGCCACAAUGGGAACUCCUCUAGUACUGCCUUUUGUGUGUGUGUGUGUGUGUGUGUGUGUGUGUGUGUGUGUGUUUGCUUUUUUAGAACUGCACUCACGGCAUAUGGAAGUUCCCAGGCUAGAGGUUAGUCACAUCAUGGAGCUGUAGCUGCUGGCCUAUGGCACAGCCAUAGAAACACAGGAUCUGAGCUGCAUCUGUGACCCACACCACAGCUCACGGCAACGCCGGAUCCAUAACCCAUGAGCCAGGCCAGGGGUCAAACCCGCAUCCUCAUGGAUGCUAGUCAGUCAUUAACCACUAAGCCAUGACGGGAACUCCUCUAGUACUGACUUCUGAUGGCACUUUUUCAAUGUUUUGUUAUGAUAAAUUUUAUGAUAAAAUUUACUUCAGGAGUUUUAUUAUUUCAGGUAGUUUGUUAUUUAUAACAAUCUAUAAUGUUCUUCUUUUUCUGAAGUUAUAGAGUCAGAUUGGCUCUUGGCUUUUAACAGCUCUCUGGGGAUUUGUUUUUCAAGUUUGCCAAGAAAAUAGCAUUCAUCUACUUUUUAGGUCCAAAAUGUUGUUGGUGUGUCCUUAACUGUUUUUCCCUGACCUUGUGAGUUAAGUUUUCAAAUAAUCCCUUAAUUUUGGUUGUACUGGGUUUUGGAAGGGAACAAAAAAAAAUUUUUUUUUUUUUGGUCUUUUUGUCUUUUUAGGGCUGUACCCACAGCAUAUGGAGGUUCCCUGGCUAGGGGUUGAAUCGGAGCUGUAGCCGCCAGCCCACGCCACAGCCACAGCCACAGCAACUCCUAAUCUGAGCUAUGUCUGUGACCUACACCACAACCCACAGCAAUGCUGGGUCCUUAACCGACUGAAUGAGGCCAGGAAUCAAACCUGCAUCUUCAUGGAUACUACUAGCCAAAUUUCGUUUCCACUGAGCUGUGAUGGGAACUCAUCUUUUUUUUUUUUGGUGGGGGAGGUGGGAAGGGAACAAAAUUUGAUGUGUUGUUAAAGAAAGUAUCAUCCUACUUGUUCAAGAAAAAACACGGCAUUUGUUACAAACAGCAAGGUAGGAUUUCCCGAUGUUGUACAUUGGGUGAGGAUCCAGCAUUUUCUCUGUGUCAGUGUCAGUUCGAUCCCUGGCCUGGUGCACUGUGUGAAUCCCUGGCAUUGCUGCAGCUGUGUGGCAAAGGUCACAACUCUGGCUCAGAUUUGCUCCCUGGCUUAGGGAUUUCCGUAUGCUGUGGGUGCAGCCAAAAGAGGAAAAACAAAACACAAACAUUCUUUAUCAUUGCUAAUCAUUUUCUUUGAAUUCUGGGCACUGACAGUGUGCUGAGUAUUUUAUUUUUUUGUCUUUUUGCCUUUUAUAGGGCCGCUUCCACGGCAUAUGGAGGUUCCCAGGCUAGGGGUCUAAUCAGAGCUGGAGCCACCGGCCUAAGCCACAGCCAUAGCAACACCAGAUCCAAGCUGUGUGUGUGACCUACACCACAGCUCCCGGCAAUCCUUAACCCAUUGAGCGAGGCCAGGGAUCAAACCCACAACUUCAUGGUUCCUAGUUUGAUUCGUUAGCCACUGAACCAUGACGGGAACUCCUGUGCUGAGUACUUUAAACUUUUACACAGCUUCUAAACCACCAGUAUUCACAUUGCUAGCAAUUAUAAGCCAUCAGUGAGUUCUGUCAAAAUUAUCAGGUUUUUUAAGUCUUAGGAAAACAAAUUAUGUACUUUGAACUGAAUCUCAUACAGUGUUAAAGGCAUUACUACUUGUCAUAGUUCUGGUACAAUGUCAUACGUUUCUGUGAUUCACUAUUUAUGUCAUUGCUUCCUUGUUCUCUCUCAGAUCUAAGAGAUUUUUUUUUCUUUUUGGUCUUUUUAGGGCCGCACUUGCAGCAUAUGGAAAUUCCCAGGCUAGGGGUCAAAUCGCGGCUAUAGCUGCCAGCCUAUGCCACAGCCACAGCAAGGUGGGGUCUGAGCCUCAUCUGUGACCUACACCAUAGGUCACAGCAAUGCCAGAUCCCCAACCACUGAGCAAGGCCAAGAAUCGAACCCGAAUCCUUGUGGAUACUAGUUGGAUUUGUUUCCACUGCGCCACAAUGGGAACUCCCGAGAUUAAUGUUAAUAUUUAAAAGCAAUGUUAGAGAUGUAUCCAAACUUCCUUACUUCAUUCUGUUUAUUCUUCAUAUUCUAAGUUCUUGCAUUUAUAGAUAUCAGAACACUGCACAACUAUUAUUGCCACAAGAAUAACAGCACACUAACAAUAAAAACAGGAAAAGCCAAACAAAUAUACUAUUUAGAAGUUUUAGGGGUUCCCCAUUCCCCGUUGUGGCUCAGUGGGUUAAGAAUCCGACUAGUGGAGUUCCCAUCAUGGCUCAGCAGAAACAAAUCUGACUAGCAUCUGUGAGGACAUAGGUUCGAUCCCUGGCCUUGCUCAGUGGCUUAAAGAAUCUGGCGUUGCCUCGAGUUUCAGCUUGAAUCUGCUAUGACAUAGGCCGGCAGCUGCAGCUCCAAAUUCACCCUAGCCCGGGAACUUCCCUGUGCCGCGAGAGGGGCCCUAAAAAGACAAAAAAAAAAAAAAA